UAGGACCCUGUCCUCCUAUUUUCAGUUGGUUUUGGCAGCGCGAGGACUAGGGUAAUGAUUAAUAGGGAUAGUUGGGGGCAUUAAUAUUUAAUUGUCAGAGGUGAAAUUCUUGGAUUUAUGAAAGAUUAACUUCUGCGAAAGCAUCUGCCAAGGAUGUUUUCAUUAAUCAAGAACGAAAGUUAGGGGAUCGAARACGAUCAGAUACCGUCGUAGUCUUAACCAUAAACGAUGCCGACCAGCGAUUAGGAGACGUUGAAUACAAAACACCACCAUCGGCGCGGUCGUCCUUGGCGCGUUCGUGUUCACGCACGAGCGCGCGAGGGCGGUUUAGCCCGGUGGCACCGGUGAAUGACUCCCUAGCAGCUUGUGAGAA
rnacentral:rRNA from 1 species